AUUGAACGCUGGCGGCAGGCCUAACACAUGCAAGUCGAACGAGUGGCGGACGGGUGAGUAAUGUCUGGGAAACUGCCCGAUGGAGGGGGAUAACUACUGGAAAAGGUAGCUAAUACCGCAUACCAUCAGAUGUGCCCCGAUGGGAUUAGCUCGUAGGUGGGGUAACGGCUCCACUAGGCGAAGAUCCCUAGCUGGUGUGAGAGGAUGACCAUCCACACGGGAACUGAGACACGGUCCAGACUCCUACGGGAGGCAGCAGUGGGGAAUAUUGCACAAUGGGCGCAAGCCUGAUGCAGCCAUGCCGCGUGUAUGAAGAAGGCCUUCGGGGUGUAAAGUACUUUCAGCGAGGAGGCGUUACUCGCAGAAGAAGCACCGGCUAACUCCGUGCCAGCAGCCGCGGUAAUUC
rnacentral:rRNA from 1 species